UCGGACGUGGUGUAUGGAACACGGCCUCUUCAAUUUACGUUUGUUGGGCGAGCAAAUUUAGGAGGCAGACCCGGGUUCGAUUCCCGGCGUCCGAA